GAGCGGAAAGAGAGCGUGCGCCGAGUCACGCUUCGGGCUGCGACGCAACCGCCGCUGGGCGGAGAGUUGCCGCCAACCGCCUUAACGGCCGAAACAAUGUUAGUGGCUUUCAAGUCUGUCUGCGCGUUCCCAUUAUCGUCUGUGUGUGCCCCCUUGGUCAUUAUACACGGAGUCGGUGGGCUCCAUAGGUACUUAUCAAUUUCAUAUUAGUUCCUCUCAAAACCUUUGUGAGGAAUCCCCGGCCUCUUAUCCUUGGACAAGCGACGAAAUGAAGAGGAAAGGGGAACUUGGUCAUACGUAAAACGAGGGCGAUUUGGGUUUAGAAUCUAAUCGGGCUGCAGUGAAGACAUGUUUUAACCUCUUCGUGGGCAUUGCCAUGGUUACAGGUACCCGCGUAACAAGGCAGGUGCGAGAACUGCCCGGGAGCCUGGUGAGCGCCGCCGCACCUCGCCUUAGAGCCACAUCUCCUCUAAUGCCUGGAAAGGUAGAGGCCGUCAUUUAUUUUGAAUCCGUCCCUAGGUGGAAAACCCAUGUUUUUAAACUUCUUGAAGAUUUUUUUUUUCAUGUCCCACGUAUAAGGUUGCAUAAAUUUGAGAAAUGUGUCUACCGCAGACCUGUCCAAAGAUCGUCACUGUGCACCAAUGUUGCUGCCCAGAAAUUCAUCCACAACUUCAUCGGCGCUUUAGAUUUUCCCUAAGAUUCUCUUCCUAUAUUUGGUCCUUGAUAAAGAUAUUUGGAAAUAAUUGAUUACAAUGAAGUACUCAGAAAUGCCAGUAGUGCCUGGAGGAUUCAGCUAAAUGAACACUGCAGUAAAGUUAGCUUAAAGACAAAACAGUUUAUUGUGCACCUAUUGCGUGCAAUGUACUUCAAUAGACAGUUAACAUUUCAUCAAUUUGCGCUAUCAUCUGGCUUUGUAAUGAAAGACAUUAAAGAACAAAUGCUGUUUGAGUAUUUUAGGUUCUGAAAGUUAAACUUUUCUAAGUUUCAAAAAAAAGUUCAAUCAUGAGGGGAACUCGGGAAUCUUUACAUAAAAUUAGAUUUGAAAAAUCAGAUUUUCUUAAAAUAUUUUGUAGAAGAAUUUUUAGGGGCCCUGGAUAGCUCAAUUGGUUAAGCGUGGGACCCUUGAUUUCCUCUCAGGUCCUGAUCUCAGUGUUGUGAGACAGAGCCCGGUGACAGCAGGAGCCUACUUAAAUAUUCUCUCCCUCUCUCUCCCUCUCUCUCCCUCUCUCUGUCUCUCUCUCUCUCUCUCUCUCCCUCCCACCCCUCCCUCUCCGUCUUUCUCCCUGCCCCUCCCUCACCUUCCCCCCCCAAUAAAAUUUUUUAAACUAGUAGUACCUCUGAUUGGUUGGAUGUAAGUUGCACAUGUUUAUACAGGACCUUUGAAAUGAAAAUGCUACCAAAAGAUAACGAUUUUGUUGAUUAUUCUUCUAGAUUUGGUCAUUGAAGAACUUUGGUUAAAAUUUACCAGAAAUGUAGUUGAACAUCCUGUUGGUAUAUACAAAUACAAAAAUUAUUUUCAUUAUUCUUUUAUUAUUUUCAUUAUUGAAAUGUGAUAUUAUGAAAUUAUUUUCAUUAUUAUUUAUUCUCUUAAUUAUAACGUUUCCUUUUCUUACUACUCUGGUUUUCCACCUUUGGGAAGAUGUGCAAGGUAUACUCCAUUUAGGCAAAAAUAACUCCCAGGGAAUAGUCAUUGUCACAAGCAGUCAUUUUGUAUCAUUUUGUGCCACAACCACAAAUCAGAUUUGUGAAACACUUGCUAUUGUAAAAUCUGGCAAUGUAGACAUUCAGUUCAGAUCCAAUUCUUACAAAUAUUUUGAAGUUUCUACUUAAGUAGAAUAAAAAUAACUUCCAAAAUGAAAAAUAAGUCCAUUCCAAAACUUUCUCAUCCAGCAUUCUCUACAUAAUCCCAAGUGACAAACUUAUUUCCAGUUUCCAACCCAAUGCAAAUGAGAUGAAAAUGUAAAACUUCUGGCACUUCUUUGAAUAUGGCUUUUCUAAUAUUGCUAUUAAACAUUACAGUGUCUUCAUUGUUGAAAUUAUAAAUAUGGAACACUUAUUUUAGCUAGCAGUAUUCCAGUAGUUUUAUUUCCAGAUGCACUUGCAGCUAUAUUCCAAAGUUGCGUUAAAUAUUCCAAGUCGCUGGUGGUUUCCUUGGUCCUUUGGGUUUUGAAAAACGAUUUGCAAACCCUGGGAACAAAAAUAAAAUGGAAAAGUCUUUUAGUAUAUAGAAAUUAAUACUUAGAUUUUAGAGCAUGUUAUAAUGUAUGCAAGUACAUGGAUUUUUUUUUCAAAACGUUAGGCAGCAUCUUUGAUCAAUUAAUAAUAAAUUAUAAAGGCACAGUAAUUAAGUUAGUGCAUAAAUGAUAACAAUACUAAUAACAUUUUAAAUUUGUAGAACACUUAUAAAUUUACUCAUGGUAAUAAUUAGAUGAAGAACCCUGGUGAUAACAAUCUUUAGUAACUCAGCAUAUACAGUUGACCCUUGAACAUUAGCUUACUGUAAGAAUACAGCAUAUGAUAUCUAGAUAGAUAGAUAGAUAGAUAGAUAGAUAUAAGAUAAGCAUAAGACUUCAGGUCAACAGUAGGCUAUUAGUAGUUAAGUUUUGGGAAAUUUUAAGUUUUGCAGAUUUCCAACUACAUGGGGGUCAGGGGGGCAUACCUAUUCCCCAAAUUGUUCAAGGAUCGAUUGUAAUAUCCUUUUCUUCCAAGUUUCUUUUUAAUGUGUGUUUAUUUUUGAGAGAGAGAGAGAAGAGAGGGCGGAGGAGGGGCAGAGGGGGUGACAGACGAUCCAAAGUGGGCUCCACACUGACAGCAGAGAACCCCAUGUGGGGCUUAAACCCACAAACCACGAGAUCAUGACCUGAGCUGAAGUCAGAUACUUAACCGACUGAGCCACCAGGCUCUCUUUUUUCCCCCCAGUUUUACUGACAUAUUAUUGACAUGUAACAUGUUAAAUUUAAGGUAUACAACAUGAUAAUUUGAUACACGUAUGUAUUAUGAAAUGAUUAGCACAUUAAGGCUGGAUAAGACCUCCAUCUCAUAUAAGUACCAUUUUUUGUGGUGAUUACAUUUAUGAUUUACUCUAAACUUUCAAGUAUAGAAUACAGUACUGUUAAAUAUAUAAUUACCAUGCUGUAUGUUAGACCCCCAGAACUUACUCAUCUUACAGCUGGAAGUUUGUACCUUUUGGCCAACAUCUCUUCAUUUCCCCAGCCCCUGGCAACCACCAUUCUACUGUAUAUUUCUGUGAGUUUAGCUUUUUUAGAUUCCACAUAUAAGUGAUACAUACAGUAUUUGUCUUUCUCUGACUUAUCUCAUUUCGUGGAAUACCCCCAAGUUUCAUUCAUGUUGUCUCAAACAGCAGGAUUUCCUUCUUUUUUAUGGCUGAAUAAUAUGUGUGUGUAUAUAUAUAUAUAUAUAUAUAUAUAUAUAUGAAAUGUAUAUAUAACACAUGUUCCUUAUCCAUUCAUCUGUCAAGUGGAAACUUAGGUUGUUUCCAUGUCUUGUGUAUUGUAAAUAAUGGUGCAGUGAACAUGAGGUGCAGAUACCUCUUCUGAGAUAAGGAUUUCACUUAUUUUAGAUAGAUACCCAGAAGUAGGAUUACCAGAUCAUGUAAUAGAUCUAUUUUCAAUGUUUUGAGGAACUUCCAAACUGUUUUCCGUAAUGGCUACGCCAGUUCACAUUCAUACAACAAUGUAUGGGAUUCUCCUUUCUCCACAGCCUAGCAAACAUUUGUCUGUUGUCUCUUUGAUAAUGGCCAUUCUGACACAUGUGAAGAGAUAUCUCACUAUGGUUUUGCUCUGCAUUUCCCUGAUGAUUCGUGAUAUCUAGCAUCUUUGCACACACCUGUUGGCCAUUCAUCUGUCUUUUUCCAGAAAUAUGUCUUUUCAAGUCCUUUGCCCAUUUUUGAAUUGUUUAGUUUUUUUGAGUAAUAGCUUAUGUCUACAUCUUUUCACCUACCACACAUAAAAAAAAAAAAAAACCUGGGAAAUUUCAAUUUCAGAAAAAUAAGCACUAUUGCUUUACAAAAUUAUUAUAUUAAACUCACUCAUAUUUCAGGUACCUUUGUGGCUCAGUCAUUAAGCAUCUGACUUCGGCUGAGGUCAUGAUCUCACAGUUCAUGAGUUCAAGUCCCACAUCUGGUGAGCACGAACCCCCCUUCAGGUGAACACAAGCCCCACUUUUCUCUCUCUCUUUCUCUCUCUCUCUGCCCCUUGUGGGAUUCUCUCUCUCUCUGCUCCUCGCUCACUUGUGCCCCCCCCCAAAAAAAACCAAAAAACAAAAAAACUCAGGUAUAUUUCUACUUCGGCCCAGAAAGCCCUCAAUUUACUAAGAUAUUGUUUGAAAAGCUUAGGAAAAUAAACUAAUAAACAAUCGUGAAAAGCUAAAGUAAUCACUUUUACUUAUCUGUCUCCUUCAAACAUUUCUCUCUGCCCCCUCUCCUCAAAAGAAGGAGGACAAGGAAAUUGUGCAGAACCAAUGAAAAUUGUUUCUGGAUCCUUUCAAAAAGAUUUGCAGGUUGAUAACAUCGGCUCUUUAUCACUUUAGCAACAUAGGACUUUUCUGUGAUGAAAGUAUAUUUUCAAGGCACUCUGAAAAUUAACAACUUUAGGCACUCAAAUUGAACAAUGAAAGCUUUGAAAUGCAAGGGGAGAACAGAACAUGGAAAACUAAAAAUAUUCCUAAACCUUUAAUCCCAUCAUCUUCCAAAAUUGUGGGUAUUGUACACCUUACAGAACUGAUGAAAAGGUCAGAUGAGAUAUUUCUUAAAGCAUCCAGCACAAUGCAUGGCACAUAAACACUCAAGUGUUGCUUCAAUCAGAACCACAAAAAAAAAACAAAAAACAAAAAACAAAAACCAUACCAGAACUAGAAGAAAAGGUGAGUAUGGAAGAGAAGAAAAGAAGAUAAAAACAAGAAAACUACUAAUAUUAAAUUUAAUAAUGGUGAUGAUAAAAAAAAAUUGGGGGAGAGGCACACAGCCAAGUUCAUAUACAUUUUACUCCUCUGAGUGAUAAAAAAGAAAAUAGAAGGAAGAAUAUUUCAGGUUAAAUAGCUUCACACAAAUAGUCACAAACUCAUCCAUUCAGUCCAGGUAGCUUGACUGCAACCCAAGUAAACUGAGAAUAGAAGUAAGAACAUAAUAUGUAAGUACCAAGUAUCUGAAACCUGAAAGAAAUACCUGCAUUCAGUCUUUUUCACUGAUCAAUUCUGAAUAGUUUAGAACAAUAGCAAGUUACCUUUUUUUUUUUUUACUGUUUAUUUUAUUUUUGAGAGACAGAGCAUGAGUGGGGGAAGGGCAGAGAGAGAGAGAGAGACACACACACACACAGAAUCCCAAGCAGGCUCCAGGCUCUGAGCUGUCAGCACAGAGCCCAACAUGGGGCUUGAACUCAGAAAUGGUGAGAUCAUGACCUGAGCCAAAGUUGGACACUUAACCAACUGAGCCACCCAGGUGCCCCAGCAAGCUACCUUUUUUUGCAUGUAGGCCAAUUCAGAAAAAAUAAAAAUGUUUAUAAACAGAAUUUUUAUUCAAAAUUAAAAACUUUUGUAUGUAAAUUAUUGCUACAAUUUAUAUUGCUUCAUUAAAAAGAAAAAAGGGGGCGCCUGGGUGGCUUAGUCAGUUAAGUAAGCAUCUAACUUCGGCUCAGGUCAUGAUCUCGCGGUUCGUGGGUUUGAGCCCCGCGUUGCGCUCUGUGCUGACAGCUCAGAGCCUGGAGCCUGCUUUGGAUUCUGUGUCUCCUUCUCUCUCUGCCCCUCCCCAACUUGUGCUCUGUCUCUCUAUGUCUCUCAAAACAAUAAAUAAACGUUAAAAAGCACAAAAAAAAGAGCCAGUGAAAGAGUUGUGCUUUUUAAGUAAGUAAAUAUUCAAAUCUAAGCAUAUUUGAGAAGAAAUAUAUUAUGGAGGCAGCUCUUCAAUAUUUUAUCUUCAUAUUAGAUCACAGAUUGUUGUAAAGUUAGAUGGGUCAUGAGUUACUCAAGUGGUAUCACUGAUGGAGAGAAAGGAAGGAAGGAAGGGAACAUUUGUGUUCCAGACAAAGUUUUGUGUGUUUUUUUCAUGGGGUAUAUGAUAAUCUGUAUGAAUUUUUUAACUAAAUGAUUUCAUAAGAAUAGUAACUUCUUUGGGGCGCCUGGGUGGCUUGGUCAGUUAAGCGUCCGACUUCGCCUCAGGUCAUGAUCUCACGGUCCGUGAGUUCAAGCCCUGCGUCGGGCUCUGUGCUGACAGCUCAGAGCCUGGAGCCUGUUUCAGAUUCUGUGUCUCCCUCUCUCUCUGCCACUCCCCUGUUCAUGCUCUGUCUCUCUCUGUCUCAAAAAUAAACGUUAAAAAAAAAAAAUUAAAGAAUAGUAACUUCUUUUUCUCUAACAUUUUAAACCUUAGACAAUAUAAUCUAAAUAAAGAUUUUUAAUGUUUAUUUUUGAAAGAGAGAGAGGACGCUAGUGGGGGAGGCGGUAGAGAGAGGGAGAGAGAGGAUCCCAAGCAGGCUCCAAGCUGUCAGUACAGAAUCCGAUGUAGGGCUCAAACCUCAAACUGUGAGAUCAUGACCUGAGCUGAAACCAAGAGUCAAACCAACUGAGCCACCCAGGUGCCCCCAAAUAAAAUUUUUCAGCCCAAAAAAUGUAUCCAGAGAUUCUAGUUGAUAUUUUGCCAAGGUGAAAUGGAGACCAUAAUCCAGGUGUGGCCAGGGAUUGCUACCUGUCCACCAGAACCUUUCCUUGGUUCUUCAGGAAUAGAAUUGUAUUUCAGCAACUGCCCACCCAGUGUUACUACUUUUCCCAGCUACUCUUGCAAUUUAGAUGUAGCAUAUGUCCAAAUUCUCAAGCUAAUGUGAGCUGACGCGAUGUUGCCACUUCCAGGCCGAUACCUCAAGACCAGAAGAGGAGAUCUCACCUCUUACAUAUUUUUCUCUUAUCUUCUUGCUACCUGCAAUCUGGAUGUGGCAGUAACCCAAUUCUGACAAUACAAAUAAGGACAAUACCACACAGCAACAGUUCUCAAGCUCUUGUCCCAGGGUACCAUGGAGGGCUCCCAGAUCCUUUCCUGGGGCGGGAGGGGGNGGGGGGGGGGGGGGGGGGGGGGGGGGGGAGGUCUGCUUUUUGGGUAAUAAUUUUUAGUAAUUAUAGCCUACACUAAUUACUACAUUCCUUACAAAUAUUUAUAGCAUAUGUGAUACUAUCUUACAUAGUAUGAAUUUAUGUCAUAUAGAAUAAUAGGAUGCUUAAAAUAAUAUAAAAUUAUCAUUUUUUCUUUUUUUUUUAAUGUUUAUUUUUAAGAGACAGAGGAGUGCACGCUGGGGAGGGGCAGAGAGAGAGGGAGACACAGAAUCCAAGCAGGCUCCNNAGGCUCUGAGCUCUCAGCGCAGAGCCUGAUGUGGGGCUCAAACCCAUGAACCAUGAGAUCAUGACCUGAGCUGAAGUCAGACACUUAACCAUCUGAGCCACCCAGGCACCCCAUAAAAUUAUCAUUUUAGGUUUAUAGUUUAUAGUUAGGGACAGUGGGGCAAACAAUUCCUUUAAACUGUCAGGAUUAUACUUCAGCCCCUACUGUAGAACGAGUUCUAUAAAAUUAGAUGGCAAGUGUUGUUCUUAUGACCACACAUGUAUUUUUUAUAACUUUGAUUAGAUAUGAACUAGAGUCUCACAGCAUCUCAGAAUUUCUUCAUUUGGCUAGUCACAUUCAUUUACUACAUGGCAACAUAGUCAUGUGGUUACCUAGCUUUAUUUUUUGCUAUCCUAGGCAAUUCCGUCCUAGGUAAGAUGUUAAGAGGUAGCUAAGGUAAAAAGUAAACAGAUAAAUUGCAUGAAAAAAUAUAGAUAUAAGGACCUAUAUAUCAACCUUGAAUCCUAUUUAAAGUUCAUACUACAAGAUAAACAUUUUUUUUUCAACGUUUAUUUAUUUUUGGGACAGAGAGAGACAGAGCAUGAACGGGGGGAGGGGCAGAGAGAGAGGGAGACACAGAAUCGGAAGCAGGUUCCAGGCUCUGAGCCAUCAGCCCAGAGCCCGACGCGGGGCUCGAACUCACGGACCGCGAGAUCGUGACCUGGCUGAAGUCGGACGCUUAACCGACUGCGCCACCCAGGUGCCCCUAAACAUUUUUUUUUUUAAUUAUGUUGGAAAAUAACACACAUACCAAAAUUCAGAAAGGAGCUGGAGCGAUUUGACUGAACAGAGUCUGCAGGCUUGUUUGCUGGAGAAGAAUUAGAGACACCUAGAAUCAAAAGAAAAAAUGUAAGGGAAAAGAUGAAGACAAACUCUGAUUACUGUUUAUCAGAACACAUAACUUGAAAUAUUUCCUCCAAAGUAAUUAAGACUCCCAAAUUAACAUAUUACUAUAAAAUACCACAAAAUACCGAUGCUUACUUACAAAUGGGUUAACUCUUUUGUGUGUGGGGGGGGGGUAUCUUUUCUUUGCAAACAGAUUGUAUAGUAAAGCCCAACACUAAAGAAAAUCACCAGAGUAUUCAGGAAUAACAUCCAUUACAUUGUGAAACAGCUUUGGGGGGAUUCAAAUUGUGGCUUUUGAUUUCAUUUUACUUUGCACUCAUCACUCUUAAGACACUUUUAAAUCAUUUGUUUUCCACAUGACUUCAUCUAUGGUUUUUCUUAUAGCAUCCUUUACUCCUAGAAUAUCUUCACUCUCCAGCCUACCUUUUUCCCAUUAUAGAGGCCCAGAAUCUCCCCAAAACAUUAUUAUAUCGCUUUGUUUUGCUACGUUAGCUACUAAUAGAUAGGCUUAAAAAUAUGUUUCUCGGGGCACCUGGGUGGCUCAGUCAGUUAAGUAUCCGACUUUGGCUCAGGUCAUGAUUUCACGUUUCAUGAGUUCGGGCCCGCAUUGGGCUCUGUGCUGACAGCUCAGAGCCUGGAGCCUGCUUGGAUUCUGUGUCUCCCUCUCUCUCUGCCCCUCCCCUGCUUGUGCUCUCUCUCUCUCUCAAGGAUAAAUAAAACACUAAAAAAUAAAAUAAAAUAAAAAAUGUUUCUCUUCACAGCACCCUAAUAUAUUCAUGUAUCAAUUUCUGCCCAAUUUUAAAAACACUCCAGUUUUCACAUCGUCCACAUUUUGCACGUGCACUAUCUAGCAGUGAAAAAAAUAAUAAUUUCAGGUUUGUAUAAACUUUCUAUAAAACUUUGCAUAAAAACAGCAUAUGAUUAGGGAGAAAUUAUUAAAAAGUCACCCUUUUUUGGUUUUCAACAUUUUCAGUAUGCAGCGUGAGGACUGCAUCUAUGUUUGUAAACACAUGGCUAAUGUUACAAUUUGAGAAAAACCUCCCUCUCCGUGGAGGUACUUGAGUAUGAAGCCCUGCGGGACGUAAUGAAUUUUAAUCAGAUUCUAUUAAAAUAUAUAUUUAUUGAAUAUCUUUUAUGUGCCAAGCAUUGGGCUAGGCGCUGAGGAGAGAGACACGCAUAAGAUGUGCAUGAAGGUAAGAAAGUUGAGGACAUAUCAAUCAUCACCAUAAUGCAUACAAGCUGAGAGCUGUAUACAUCCUUCAGAAAGAAAACAAUUACACCAAAAGGAGGGAGUAUUGUCUUUUUUUAUAACAGGAGACGAAAGAUUCUGCAAAUAAAUAUAUCAAAGGGAAUUGCUGCUUUGCAUACUGGCUUGCCGCAAUUUGGUUUUUUUUGUUUGUUUGCUUUUUGUUUUUGGAAAAUGGCAUGCCAUGUGGUUGAACUUGAUAUACUUGUAAGUACUUAGUUUUGUUAUUAGGCUAUUAUAUAAACAAGACUGAUUAUCCUAUAAUUUACUUUUUUCUUUUGUUUUAAAUUUUUUUUCAUGUUUCUUUAUUUUUGAGAGAGAGAGAGAGACAGAGCGUGUGCAGGGGAGGGGCAGAGAGAGAGGGAGACACAGAAUGCAAAGCAGGCUCCAGCCUCUGAGCUGUCAGCACAGAGCCCGACGCGGGGCUGGAACUCACGAACCGUGAGAUCAUGACCUUAGCUGAAGUCAGACGCUCAGCGGACUGAGCCACCCAGGUGCCCCAAUUUACUUUUUUCAUUUAAUGAAAUAUCUUGGUUUUUUCCUAUGGCAGCUUCAGUAGAAUUGUAUCAUGUCACAGAUAUAUUUAUGCUGGCCUGCCCAGCGUUAAUUCUUCCUUCUUCUGAUAACAGAGCUUGAGUUUUUCUUUAGGAAACCACCCCAGCCCAAUUUUCAGCUUCCAUACUUCUGGUGAAGUUGAUUCUACCAUUAGAUCAAGGAACUGACCUAUGACUAGGGCUAAUUUUCAGUUGGUACAUUGCCGUGAUCAUAGCAGUUAGGUCUGACCUCAUUCCUUACUGGUCAGUGUCCAUUCUGAUUCUGCUUAAUCAGAAUCUACUGGCAAUAAUUGGUUCAAGGUUGGACAAAUGAACCAAACUAACACAGUCAGGCCCAAUCAGCAGCACUAGUCAUCGGACUAUUGCUUGAGCAACCAGGAAACAGCUCAUUUUUUCCAUCAUAAGCCUGAAACCACAUGGUAAAAGCCUGCCUAUGAAUGAGCUAACACAGAGUAAAACAAAGGUGGAGAUAUGGAAUGAGAUUGGGUCCUGAUUAUAUCAUUUGAGCUCUUGGUUACAGGCCAACGAAUUCCCCUCUUCUGCUUCAGCUGGCUUAAGUUGGGUUUUCUAUCACUUGCAACUGAAGGGUAUCUGAGUAAUUAAAAGUUUCCCACCAAAAGUAGGCAUCAGGCAUCAUGGUUGAUAGCUUUAAUUCUUGUCACCCUAUGAUUCACUCUCCACACAGCAGCCAGAAAGAUCUUUUUAAAAAACAGAUCAUGUGGGGCCCCCCGGGUGGCUCAGUCGGUUGGGGGUGGGAGUCUUGAUCUCGGCUCAGGUCAUGAUCUCACAGUUGGUGGGUUUGACCUCCGCAAUGGUGGCACCAAGCCUGCUUGGGAUUCUGUUUCUCCCCCGAUCUCUCUGCCCUUCCCCUACUUGUGCUCGCCCGUGCAUACACACGCCUAUGCUCUCUCUCUCUCUCUCUCUCUCAAAAUAAAUAAGCUUUAUAAAAAAGAGAAAAAAAACGCUCAUGUAACAUCUCCGCUUAAAGCUCUUCAACCAUUGCACUUACAAUAAACUCUAAACUACUUAACAUGACCCAUAAGGGUUUAACUACCUUCUCCCCCACCACCACCAUCUUGUCAGUCACCACACUUUAUUGCUCUCUCCUCAUAAUACCCUGCAGCCACGAUGGCUUCCUCUCAGUUCCUACAACACACCAAACCCACGCUCGAGAGCUUCUACGUUUGCUACUCCCUCUAUCUGGAGGGGUCCUCUCCCCACCUUUCUCCUGGCUGGCUGGCUGCUCCUUCAUGUCUCAGGUUUAAUCAUUACUUAGAAAGGGCCUCCUGGACCACUCGUUCUAAAAUAGAUCCCCUUUGUUAUUCUCUCUCAUAAUUACCCUCUUGGUUUCCUGCACAGCAUCUAUCACCAUUGCAUUAUUAUGCAUGUAUCUGUGAAUUUACUUGUUUAAUGUCUGAAUCCCUAACUGGACUUAAGUUCCACAGAGGGAUAGCCCAAUACCUAUAUACUAUCAUAUACCCAGUGCCUUACAGAAUGCCUAGCACUUAAUAGGCACUCAAUGAAUAUUCAGCGAAUGCAUGGAUACUAUGUUUAAAUGCUGGCUUAAAACAACAGGUGAAGAAUCCUUACUUUAUCAAAAUUAGGACCAGCUUUAACUACAGACCAGUUGGAGAUCCAGGCUAAAGGGAGAACAUCUGGAAUUCAAGAGUCAUAAACCAUCUGGAAGGGGAAGAGGACAUUUUUCCCAAGUACAGGCAGAUACAUCCCAAGCUUCAGGAUCAGUUUUAAGGGUCAGAUAUUUUAAGGGCCAGUUCUUCAUUUAAGGACAAAAGACCAGAGGAU
rnacentral:lncRNA from 1 species